rnacentral:lncRNA from 12 species
UGGGCGGGGGCGCCGGGCGGGCCUGGGCUCCGCACUCGCGCCGGGACUCGAGCGCGUGUUCGGGGCUGGGUCUGCGGUUGUGGAGGGGGGGUGUGCGUGUGCGUGUGUUUCCUGCGGGGUCGGGGUGGGUGGAGGCGGGGAGGCCCUCGCUCCUGGGCUUUUCCGCGGCCGACCCGCGGGCCUUCGCUGGGCUGCGAGGAGCGGCGCGGGUUGGACCGGGGCGCGGGCGGCCCCCGGCCCCUCGGAGGGGGAGCGGCGCGGAGGGGCGGGGCGGGGCGCGUGUGUAAAUGUUGCGCACUCGCUUUUCCCCCCACCCCCGCCGCCUUCCAGGGUGCUGGCGUGGGUCCCUCGCCGUCCGGCGGCGACUGUAAAUAGAGCCUGGAUGUUGUUUACAUGAAGGAUCCGGCGGGAGGAGUCUGCGAGGAGGAGGCGGAGGAGGAGGGAGGGAAGACAGAGGAAGAGCGGAGUCCCCGCGGCGGCUGCGUCCGGGGCGAGGGGGAGCCCCGCGCGGCGUCCGGGGACCCGGCGCUGCCACGAGGCCGGGACGCUGGACCCUGGGAAGGGGGAAGGGACUUGGCGGACAUCGCCUGCUCCCGGCCGCAGCUGAACCCACGGCUUCUCCCUGCCUUCCCGGGCCAAGGAAUCUUUUCCCUCGCUCAGCUACCCUCACGCCAGCUGCCACCUUCUUGGAGAAGGACCACACCUGUGCUUACUCUCGCUCUGGAGGAGAGGUUCCUCCAUAAGAGCAUCCCCAGAGUUGCUGAAGACCCUUCUGUAAAAGUCAACAGCCUUUCUUUCAUGACAUCACCACCUAAGCCCUUCCAACUUUAG